AGAAAGUUAACCACUGAAAACUUCUUCACUUCAAAAAGUGCAGAUACAACAGAGCCGAAUCUCAAAGGGAGACAAGACCGUGUUCGCCAGGAGUUUAACAAGGCAUCCAUGUCAUACAGUCCAUCCAUGGCAUAAUUGUCAACACCUGCCAAGUGAGCCUUAUUGAGCUCAUUGAGCAUUUCAGCAGUAAGAGGAACAUCAUGCCGCUUCUUAACACGAGCCCGAUUCACAAGCUGUAAAAAGACAGUCGUUGAGCAUCUCUUCGGUCAGUGGAACGUUGUUCGGCUUGAUAACGUUGCAACACGUGCGGUUCACAUACUGGCGAAGAACAUGCAAGAGAUAGUGACCAAGACAGUUUGAAUUAGGUGGUGGUAGUGGUGUAUAAAUGUUUACAACACUGGUAAAGGACAUCAAAGCCAGGUGGAAAAAUGGAAGUUCUGAGUAAUCUUGAAAGUUAUAAGUAUAAAUAAGAAAAAUAAUAAAAUUAUAUAUUCCAUGCAAAGAAAUAAGUUAUGUGCAAGAGCAAGAAUUAUAUAUUGAAGUAAAAAAGACCUGGCAUGCAUGACUAAGAAGGAUAUCAACUAGGGUUACAUUCAUUAUCUAAAAUUAAAAUUACCACAGAAUGCCUAAAAUACAUACUGCUAAGAGAAUCAGUACGGUACUCUGGCUGUCACAUACAAAGAUGAUGCCUCCACUUCCUUUUAGUAUGUGCAAGCUGACCGAGACUGUGUGAAGAAGUAUAUACUCACCACAGUUAUUCCAAAUAUAAGGAUGAAGAGAAGAGAGGCGAGUCCAAUGACAAUAACAGCAAUGAGCCACUGAGGAAUCAGAUAAUCAUCCUGUUCUUCGUGGAGGAUACGUGCUCGUUCAUGCAUAACUGUAAUAACAAAAGUACAUAAUAAUGUAAGGAAAUAAUUAUUUUUAUCAGUGCAAAAUUCAUUUCAAAUGAUACAGUGAAGCAUGUGUGUGGACACACAAUGUAAAAUAAAUAAAGCCACUAAUAUGCAAAAGUGUUUCAUGCUGAGGUCAGCUCAAGUUGACCUCAUUAAAUAUGGGGGUCAACUCAUAUUUAAAUAUGAUGAAAUAUAAAGUGAAGUUGAGUACAGAGGAUAACAUAAUCAGGCUAAUAAAUCAAUCAUUCUGGGAACUAAAAUGAAGCAUUAUUUAAAAGCAAACAAUGCAAUUUGUAUUAACUAUGGUAAAUAAAAUUAAUAAAAGAUAAUUGCUUCUAAACUAACUAUAACUACAGGUUUCUAUAUAAUAAAGAAUUCAGCUUAUGUUUUGAUACAUAAAAAAUAGCAAUACAGUACAGUACUAAAAUAUUAUUGCACCUGAUCUUUUGUUCUGCAUGAAACAUUAAGUACAUUAUAGGCUGAUAAUGUAUAAAUUAUUUAUACAUUUAUAAUGUAUAAAUUAUACAUUAUAAGUAGACACUCUAUUACUCCCUCAUCUAUCCUUAUCUCAACUGUGGUAUUUGUGCUUGGGGUUCUACUACC